UACAGAGGUGGCAAGCGUUGUUCGGAAUUACUGGGCGUAAAGCGCACGUAGGCGGAUUGUUAAGUCGGGGGUGAAAUCCUGGAGCUCAACUCCAGAACUGCCUUCGAAACUGGCGAUCUUGAGUCCGGGAGAGGUGAGUGGAACUGCGAGUGUAGAGGUGAAAUUCGUAGAUAUUCGCAAGAACACCAGUGGCGAAGGCGGCUCACUGGCCCGGUACUGACGCUGAGGUGCGAAAGCGUGGGGAGCAAACAGG
rnacentral:rRNA from 1 species